CAGUCGCCACGGUAAUACGGAGGGAGCUAGCGUUGUUCGGAAUUACUGGGCGUAAAGCGCGCGUAGGCGGUUACUCAAGUCAGAGGUGAAAGCCCGGGGCUCAACCCCGGAACUGCCUUUGAAACUAGGUGACUAGAAUCUUGGAGAGGUCAGUGGAAUUCCGAGUGUAGAGGUGAAAUUCGUAGAUAUUCGGAAGAACACCAGUGGCGGAGGCGACUGACUGGACAAGUAUUGACGCUGAGGUGCGAAAGCGUGGGGAGCAAACAGGAUUAGAUACCCCCGUAGUCCCUGUCUCUUAUAC
rnacentral:rRNA from 1 species